GAUGAACGCUAGCGGCAGGCUUAACACAUGCAAGUCGAGGGGUAACAGGGAAAAGCUUGCUUUUCUGCUGACGACCGGCGCACGGGUGCGUAACGCGUAUACAAUCUACCUUAUACUGGGGUAUAGCCUUUAGAAAUGAAGAUUAAUCCCCCAUAGUCUCUUUAGGUGGCAUCACUUAAGGAGUAAAGGUUACGGUAUAAGAUGAGUAUGCGUUCUAUUAGUUUGUUGGUGUGGUAACGGCACACCAAGACUACGAUAGAUAGGGGCCCUGAGAGGGGGAUCCCCCACACUGGUACUGAGACACGGACCAGACUCCUACGGGAGGCAGCAGUGAGGAAUAUUGGACAAUGGAGGCAACUCUGAUCCAGCCAUGCCGCGUGUAGGAUGACUGCCCUAUGGGUUGUAAACUACUUUUAUACAGGAAGAAACACCUCUACGUGUAGAGGCUUGACGGUACUGUAAGAAUAAGGAUCGGCUAACUCCGUG
rnacentral:rRNA from 1 species